rnacentral:rRNA from 1 species
GAACGGCAGCACAGUAAGAGCUUGCUCUUAUGGGUGGCGAGUGGCGGACGGGUGAGGAAUGCAUCGGAAUCUACUCUUUCGUGGGGGAUAACGUAGGGAAACUUACGCUAAUACCGCAUACGACCUACGGGUGAAAGCCGGGGACCUUCGGGCCUGGCGCGAAUGAAUGAGCCGAUGCCCGAUUAGCUAGUUGGCGGGGUAAGAGCCCACCAAGGCGACGAUCGGUAGCUGGUCUGAGAGGAUGAUCAGCCACACUGGAACUGAGACACGGUCCAGACUCCUACGGGAGGCAGCAGUGGGGAAUAUUGGACAAUGGGCGCAAGCCUGAUCCAGCCAUACCGCGUGGGUGAAGAAGGCCUUCGGGUUGUAAAGCCCUUUUGUUGGGAAAGAAAAGCAGCCGGUUAAUACCCGGUUGUUCUGACGGUACCCAAAGAAUAAGCACCGGCUAACUUCGUGCCAGCAGCCGCGGUAAUACGAAGGGUGCAAGCGUUACUCGGAAUUACUGGGCGUAAAGCGUGCGUAGGUGGUUGUUUAAGUCUGUCGUGAAAGCCCUGGGCUCAACCUGGGAAUUGCGAUGGAAACUGGGCGACUAGAGUGUGGCAGAGGAUAGUGGAAUUCCUGGUGUAGCAGUGAAAUGCGUAGAGAUCAGGAGGAACAUCCGUGGCG